rnacentral:rRNA from 1 species
CAAUAGCGUAUAUUAAAGUUGUUGCAGUUAAAAAGCUCGUAGUUGAAUUUCUGGCGGGCGCGCCGGUCUUCCAAGUGUUGUACUGGGCGCAGUCCGCCAUCCUUGUGGAGAGGGCUCGCAUUGAGUUGCGUGUCGGAUCUGCAUCAUUUACUGUGAAAAAAUUAGAGUGUUUAAAGCAGGCUGUCGCUUGAAUACAUUAGCAUGGAAUAAUAAGAUAGGACUUCGGUCUAUUUUGUUGGUUGCGAACCGAGGUAAUGAUUAAUAGGGAUAGUUGGGGGUAUUCAUAUUUAAUUGUCAGAGGUGAAAUUCUUGGAUUUAUGAAAGAUGAACAACUGCGAAAGCAUUUACCAAGGAUGUUUUCAUUAG